UUAUGUUCUUUGAGACUUCAUUUAGUCCAGUAGCAUUUACUUUCAUCAUAUCAGCAACCUGACCAAGAAGUCCACCUUCUUGACCUUCAGAUGUCAAAUUUGUAACAGCAGUUAAUGUAAAGUUAGCUAUGGAGAGAGCAGUAUCUGUUAGUGGCAUAACUGUUGACAGUAACGGACCACUUGCAGAAGAGAAAAGCCAUGACACGUAGUAGAGUAUAAUCCUUCCAAAUGAAAAGGGCAUGAAGAUUACAAUACCGAGGAAUAUCAUAUUGCUAGCCAGAACAGUGAAUGCAUUUUCAACUAAAUGGAAUACAGGGCCCUGCAUGCCAACAAGCUCAUCAAAGGGCACAUCCUCUGCACCAUCAGCAUCAUCUAAACCAUCAAACAUUUGUUCAACAUGAGCCUCAAGACGAGCUGCCUGCAUCUCCCAUCGAGCAGCAACAUUUUCUGCAUUCCUUCGGAUCAUUUGACCAGCCCCAGCAAUUCCUUGUCCUCCACCAGCAUCUUCAGCAUUUGCCACACCAGCAAAAUUUCGCAUAGCUUGUCCUGGUGGCCGUCUUGCAGCACGAGCACCAUUUCUGUCACCUUCAUCCUCUCUCUCAGCAUCCUGACCUCCAAGCUCCCUUAAAUGCCUAAAGUAAUCUCUUAAUGAAGUAGCUCCAAGAAAAAUGAAAACAAUGCUAGCAGAAAGUAGGAAGCCAUGCAGACAAUCAGUAAGAAUAACUGUAGUAGAGAUAUGACUUAAAAAUAAUCUCUGGGCUUCACCAAAACUCCUCACAAAAGCCAAACGCCAUAUCCAGAAUGUUAUGAAGGGUAUAAUGAGGAGCCAAACAGAAAG
rnacentral:misc_RNA from 1 species